AACGAACGCUAGCGGUAUGCCUCAAACAUGCAAGUCGAACGAGAAAGUAUCUUCGGAUGCGAGUAAAGUGGCGCACGGGUGCGUAACACGUAGCUAACCUACCCUCUUGCUGUGGAUAACUUCGGGAAACCGAAGCUAAUACAGAAUAGUCUGACUCUAACUUCGGUUUAGGUCAGUAAAGCCUUCGGGCGCGAGAGGAUGGGGCUGCGGCCUAUUAGCUUGUUGGUGGGGUAAUGGCCCACCAAGGCUGCGAUAGGUAGCUGGUCUGAGAGGAUGAUCAGCCACACUGGAACUGAAACACGGUCCAGACACCCACGGGUGGCAGCAGUUGGGAAUAUUGGACAAUGGGGGAAACCCUGAUCCAGCAAUACCGCGUGAGUGAUGAAGGCCCUAGGGUCGUAAAGCUCUUUCAGUAGGGAAGAAGGGAAACUUGACGGUACCUACAGAAGAAGCACCGGCUAACUCUG
rnacentral:rRNA from 1 species